CAGUAGCCGCGGUAAUACGAAGGGUGCAAGCGUUAAUCGGAAUUACUGGGCGUAAGGGGUGCGUAGGCGGUUGUUUAAGUCUGUUGUGAAAUCCCCGGGCUCAACCUGGGAAUGGCAAUGGAAACUGGACGGCUAGAGUGUGUCAGAGGACGGUGGAAUUCCCGGUGUAGCGGUGAAAUGCGUAGAGAUCGGGAGGAACAUCAGUGGCGAAGGCGGCCAUCUGGGACAACACUGACGCUGAGGCACGAAAGCGUGGGGAGCAAACAGGAUUAGAUACCCCCGUAGUCCCUGUCUCUUAUAC
rnacentral:rRNA from 1 species